rnacentral:rRNA from 1 species
UAGAGUUUGAUCCUGGCUCAGAUUAAACGCUGGCGGCAUGCCUUACACAUGCAAGUCGAACGGCAGCACGGGGGCAACCCUGGUGGCGAGUGGCGAACGGGUGAGUAAAGCAUCGGAACGUGCCCUGGAGUGGGGGAUAACGUAGCGAAAGUUACGCUAAUACCGCAUAUUCUGUGAGCAGGAAAGCAGGGGAUCGCAAGACCUUGCGUUCUGGGAGCGGCCGAUGUCGGAUCAGCUAGUUGGUGGGGUAAAAGCCUACCAAGGCGACGAUCCGUAGCGGGUCUGAGAGGAUGAUCCGCCACACUGGGACUGAGACACGGCCCAGACUCCUACGGGAGGCAGCAGUGGGGAAUUUUGGACAAUGGGCGGAAGCCUGAUCCAGCCAUGCCGCGUGAGUGAAGAAGGCCUUCGGGUUGUGAAGCUCUUUCGGUGGGGAAGAAAUUGCACGGGUUAAUACCCUGUGUAGAUGACGGUACCCGACUAAGAAGCACCAGCGAACUACGUGCCAGCAGCCGCGGUAAUA